rnacentral:rRNA from 1 species
GAUGAACGCUAGCGGCAGGCCUAACACAUGCAAGUCGAGGGGUAGAGGAAGCUUGCUUCCUUGAGACCGGCGCACGGGUGCGUAACGCGUAUGCAAUCUACCUUUUACAGAGGGAUAGCCCAGAGAAAUUUGGAUUAAUACCUCAUAGUAUUUUCGAAUGGCAUCAUUUGAUUAUUAAAGUUCCAACGGUAAAAGAUGAGCAUGCGUCCUAUUAGCUAGAUGGUAAGGUAACGGCUUACCAUGGCAACGAUAGGUAGGGGUCCUGAAAGGGAGGUCCCGCACACUGGUACUGAGACACGGACCAGACUCCGACGGGAGGCAGCAGUGAGGAAUAUUGGACAAUGGGCGCAAGCCUGAUCCAGCCAUGCCGCGUGCAGGAAGACGCAUCUAUGGUGUGUAAACUGCUUUUGUACGGGAAGAAACACUCCCUCGUGAGGGAGCUUGACGGUACCGUAAGAAUAAGGAUCGGCUAACUCCGUGCCAGCCGCCGCGGUAAUAC